rnacentral:rRNA from 1 species
GACGACGCUGGCGGCGUGCCUAACACAUGCAAGUCGAGCGGGGUUGAGGCGAGAGGUAACUCGAACUUCUACCUAGCGGCGGACGGGUGAGUAACGCGUGGGCAACCUGCCUCAAGGUUUGGGAUAACAGCCCGAAAGGGCUGCUAAUACCGGAUAUGCCUAUGGCCUCGCAUGGGGCUAUGAGCAAAGGGGAAACCCGCCUUGAGAUGGGCCCGCGUCCCAUCAGCUAGUUGGUGAGGUAACAGCUCACCAAGGCGACGACGGGUAGCCGGCCUGAGAGGGUGACCGGCCACACUGGGACUGAGACACGGCCCAGACUCCUACGGGGGGCAGCAGUGGGGGAUCUUGCACAAUGGGCGAAAGCCUGAUGCAGCGACGCCGCGUGAGCGAAGAAGGCCUUCGGGUUGUAAAGCUCUGUUUGGAGGGACGAACAAAAUGACGGUACCUCCGGAGGAAGCCACGGCUAACUACGUG